AUACGUAGGGGGCAAGCGUUAUCCGGAUUUACUGGGUGUAAAGGGAGCGUAGACGGUGUGACAAGUCUGAUGUGAAAACCCGGGGCUCGACUCCGGGAUUGCAUUGGAAACUGCCAUACUUGAGUGCAGGAGAGGCAAGCGGAAUUCCUAGUGUAGCGGUGAAAUGCGUAGAUAUUAGGAGGAACACCGGCGGCGAAGGCGGCUUACUGGACUGUAACUGACGUUGAGGCUCGAAAGCGUGGGGAGCAAACAGGAUUAGAUACCCUGGUAGUCCACGCGGUAAACGAUGAAUACUAGGUGUUGGGGGUCUAUAGACCCUCGGUGCCGCAGCAAACGCAAUAAGUAUUCCACCUGGGGAGUACGUUCGCAAGAAUGAAACUCAAAGGAAUUGGCGGGG
rnacentral:rRNA from 1 species